GGGAGGGGAGGGUAUGGGGAGAGCACAAUUAAUCGGUUGGAUAUAUAUGCAUAUGUAGUACAAAGUUAAUUAUCCAUUAGAUAUGGGUGGGAUUGGGGAGGGUAAGGAGUGGAUAAUAAUCAUUAUAAUUUGGGCGUGAACAAGAGUGGGUUUGCUCAUACCCUCCCCAGUGGUAGGCCUACUGCUACCCAUAUUGCUUGUGACUCUAUUGACGGCAGUUACCAUGCAAAUUGUGAACCGCGAGUGCACGGAUCAGUUGUAGCUCUUCCCUCAGAGUAUUCCUCUAAGGUUUAUCAAUCCAUUGGAUCUAUUUUAACUAGCAUUGUUAGUAUGAACUCGGUGUUGAUGAGUGAUUCAGAUCCAAUCUAUUAGCAUGUACAGACAAAUAAUAGAUAGAGCAGAGGUAACCGAUCUAGACCAACCUAGACUAUGCAUAUGUUGUAAUUCUAAGCAAGGAUAGUUAACAGAUAUAAUCUGAGUAAAAAGUAUCUUUGAAUCUACACCUCCGGUCCGGCUCCCAAAAACCCCUAUCUUAUACAAGAAAGAUCCUGUCACGACCCCGUCUAUCAGCAUAGGUAGAU
rnacentral:lncRNA from 1 species